UACGUAGGGUGCUAGCGUUGUCCGGAAUUAUUGGGCGUAAAGAGCUCGUAGGCGGCCUGUCGCGUCGGAUGUGAAAGCCCGGGGCUUAACCCCGGGUCUGCAUUCGAUACGGGCAGGCUAGAGUUCGGUAGGGGAGAUCGGAAUUCCUGGUGUAGCGGUGAAAUGCGCAGAUAUCAGGAGGAACACCGGUGGCGAAGGCGGAUCUCUGGGCCGAUACUGACGCUGAGGAGCGAAAGCGUGGGGAGCGAACAGG
rnacentral:rRNA from 1 species